ncrna:unclassified sequences RT-18 RNA
CACCUCAUGGUGAAGAUAGGCAUUUUGGGAGCAGGCUAGUACACUCCGCAGGGGGCGAUGGAAAGCCUGUACAGCUAAAAGGAG